UACGUAGGGGGGCAAGCGUUGUCCGGAAUCAUUGGGCGUAAAGAGCGUGUAGGCGGCCUUAUAAGUCGGCUGUGAAAGUCAAGGGCUCAACCCUUGAAUGCCGGCCGAUACUGUGAGGCUAGAGUCCGGAAGAGGCGAGUGGAAUUCCUGGUGUAGCGGUGAAAUGCGCAGAUAUCAGGAGGAACACCGAUGGCGAAGGCGGCGGCGCUGGACCACUACUGACGCUGAGGAACGAAAGCUAGGGGAGCAAACAGG
rnacentral:rRNA from 1 species